AAAAGCCAACAACUGUGACCUCACAGUUCCUCUGUCCACUAAUUAAAAACAGUGUAUGUUUAAUAUUCAAUUUCUUAUACAACAAAUUAGCUUGUGGUUUAUUUUAUUGUCCAAUCAUGAAAAAAAAUUUGCUUUCAUAUCUAAAGGU